GCCACGGCAACCAGGGUCCGAGUCCCAGACCCUGCAGCCGCCCCAGCGCGUCAGCUGGCCGGGCUGCCCUGGCGGCGGCUUCGUGCCGCUGAAAGGGUGGCUCUGGAUGAAUGAAGUCGCUUAACCCCUCUGAAUCUCACUUUUCUUAUCUGUAACGCCCUCCUUGGCAGACUUCUUCAGGCUUAAACGAGACAAUGGAAUCUUAGAGGGUUCUGGAAACCGUCAAGGAAGCACUUUAGUGUUUGUGCCAUAAGCAAACCACCGUGGGGUCACCCCGACUCCCAACUGAGAAGAAGGCCACUGCUGGUCCUGGAUGUGGCAUAAAUCCCAGUCUGGAGUCCCACACCAACCCUCAUUUAUUUCCACUCACUCUUUAAAUCUGAGCAAAGUUUCACAGAACAGACCUUUUGAGGAAGGAAAGGGCAAUGAUGGAGGUGAAGAUGGAGAGGCCUUCUCCAUGUCCCAGGGGCCUGGAAAACUCAGCACAAGGAUGUGGCUGGAGCUGCAGUCCACCCAGGGCAGAACAACUACCACACAACUAACCAGAUGCAGACAGAAGGACGUCUGGAGAUGCUAAGGUAAGAGAAACCCAGAGA